CAGUUCCGCAUUCAGCUACCCGUUGCUGCCUGUGUCCCAGCGAGGAUGGAGGCCAUCAAGAAGAAGAUGCAGAUGCUGAAGCUGGACAAGGAGAAUGCCCUGGACCGGGCGGAGCAGGCAGAGGCUGAGCAGAAGCAGGCAGAGGAGCGGAGCAAGCAGCUGGAGGACGAGCUUGCUGCCAUGCAGAAGAAGCUAAAGGGGACAGAGGAUGAACUGGACAAAUACUCUGAGGCCCUGAAAGAUGCCCAGGAGAAGCUGGAGCUGGCAGAGAAGAAGGCAGCGGACGCUGAGGCAGAAGUGGCAUCUUUGAAUCGCCGUAUCCAGCUGGUAGAGGAGGAGUUGGACCGAGCUCAGGAGCGCCUUGCCACGGCUCUGCAGAAGCUUGAAGAGGCAGAGAAGGCAGCAGAUGAGAGCGAAAGAGGUAUGAAAGUCAUUGAAAACAGAGCUCUUAAAGAUGAGGAGAAGAUGGAACUGCAGGAGAUCCAGCUCAAAGAAGCCAAGCACAUCGCAGAGGAGGCAGACAGGAAGUAUGAGGAGGUUGCUCGGAAACUGGUGAUCAUAGAGGGAGAUCUGGAGCGUACUGAAGAGAGAGCUGAGCUCGCAGAGUCUAAAUGUUCCGAGCUGGAGGAGGAGCUGAAGAAUGUCACCAACAAUCUCAAGUCUCUUGAGGCUCAGGCUGAGAAGUACUCUCAAAAAGAGGAUAAAUAUGAAGAAGAGAUAAAGAUCCUGACUGAUAAACUCAAAGAGGCGGAGACCCGUGCUGAAUUUGCUGAACGCUCUGUAGCCAAGCUGGAGAAGACCAUUGAUGAUUUGGAAGAUGAGCUCUAUGCCCAGAAACUGAAGUACAAAGCAAUUAGUGAGGAACUGGACCACGCCCUGAAUGACAUGACUUCCAUCCUGUCUAUCCAGUGUCCCAGCGUGUGGACGUCUCCAGUGAUAUGGGUGGGCUCACCUUUGGAGUAAAGCCUACCUAGAGCACUAGCUGCUGAUCUGCUCUCCUCCUGGCUUAAGGAACAUAUAAACUGAAAUCCACCAAAGAGGAGCAUCUCUGCACGCAAAGAAUGCUGGACCAGACCCUGCUAGACCUGAACGAGAUGUAAUAGAUCCCUGCCACCGCCUCCGCCAUGCGAUGCCAGGCGCCGGCCCAGCUGCUGCUGCCCUCUAACCCUGGGCACCAGAGUUUACCUUCUGUUGCCAACUUGACCAAACACAAAUCUCCUUUGCCCCAGGGUUAAAGGCCACCAGGUUGGGCAGAGCUUCAAACAGCAUCAUUAAGGGAAAUAAACAAUGCAAUAAUGUUUGGGGAGCAUGUUUGAGAUGUACACAUUUUGUAACUACCUUUUUUUGUAGCAACCAUUGUAAACAUUCCAAAUAUCGUGUGAGGCUGGUGAGCUACACUUCAAAGCUCUUGGCUUUAAAAUUUGGUAUUAACCUUCUGUUAAUUGGCUCUGGGCCACCCUGCUUUGGCAGGGCAGGAAAAGGGUGUGAUGGUGCUCGCUGUGAGUCAGAGUAGCCAGGCUAGGGAUGGAAGCCUGUUGGGAAAACUUCCUUUCCAAGAGCUGUUUGCCAAAAGUGCAGUUCAGUUUCUCAGCUUUAAGGUAACUGUGUUGGGGAGGAGCAACUUGUGUGAAAGGUACUUUUUUUUUUCUUUUUUUUUUUAAGCCAAGCCAGUCAUCUGAACAAUUGAACCUUCACAAGGAUUGUGUCCCUUUCCCCCCACCGUUGGCCACUUCCUUUCCUGGUGGGCUUAGAGCAGCCAUGGCCCCUCUAACCCAUUGCUACCCUGGGGCUGACUUUGCCUUCACUAAGUGCUGGUGCACCAAGCUUCACCGCUCAUUGCUGGGUUACACUUAACAGCUUAAGUACAACAGCCUUGUAUUCUUGGAGAAGUGUUUUUGCCUACCUGGAGGGAGGGAACUGAGCCUUCCCUCCUGGCCAGGACUGCUCUUACUGUCUUAAUUGGGUACAAGCCAUCUCGCUGUGCAUUGCUGGUGUUCCGUGGUUGUGAGGCGUGAGCGCGGUAUCGCCGCGCUCGCAUCGUGUAGCUUGUGGUUUGAGCAUGCUGCUUGGUUGUAGCAGUUUUAGGGGCCAAUCUGGAGACAAAAACCCUAUCCAGUGUUUUGAUACUAAAUUGAAAAAUUGUGUUACUGUCUUUUGAAAUAAAAACCGAUCCUUCCACACCA